UCAGAAGGUGUGGUUUCCACUUAUCAAAGUCCACGUACGGGAUCCGCACCCACGGCCCCCGAACGAUGGCGUCGCUCAUCCUCAUGUGGAUUGUCAUCCCUGCCGCAGAUUUAAUGGAGGUGACAACGAACGCUCCGCAAGCCGCGACUCUGCUCCACGGGAACGUUUUACUCGAGUGCUAUUUCGGGAGCGGCGGGCCCGUCGGAGCGGAGGACGUCUCCGUGAAAUGGACGGUGAGGAGCGGGACCGGCGCGAGGGACGUGUACGCCUUCGACGGGAUGGCGGAGAAGCGGCAUCGAGACGGGACCUCGCUGGACCUGCUGCUCCUCGAGAAGGGCAACGCCUCCUUAUACCUGACGGACGUCGCUCUCCAAGACGAGGGGUCCUACACCUGCACCGUCUUAAUCGCCCCGGACUUUGGAAGUUCCACCCUGCUGCUGAAGGUCGCAGUCCAGCCCACUGUGGCCCUGGCCCCCGUGAACCCGCACCUUCACCACGGGGAGUCGGAAACCUUCUUCUGCGACGUGGGUCAGUUCUACCCGCCGGACUUCGAGAUACUUUGGCUGGUGAAGACGCAGGGCAAGGAGCGCCGUCUGACGUCCAACAUCUGCACGGGGAUUCCUGCCCCGGACGGCAACGGCACCUUCGGCGUCAGCAGCCAGAUAUCGGUGACGUUCCGCGAGGGAGACGGCGGGGCCGAGUACAUCUGCGAGGUCCGACACGAGUCCCUCCGGCACCCGCAGAGACGCAAUUCCACCGUCUUUCUGGCAGCUCCACAAUCUAUCCAAACAGGCUCCGGGUUCAUCGCCGGGGUGGUUAUCGGCAGCGUUCUAAUGACAGCAAUCGCCAGCGUGCUAACGGUCAUCUUAUACCAAAAGAACUUAGCCAAAGCGUCUCCGUCGAUGUCGCCGCUCAUCGUGCCAGAACCGGUACCAGCGAACGAGAACAUGACCGCCAUCUGCAACAUUCACGGGUUCCGGCCAAAGGCCAUCGAGGUCCGGUGGUUUCUUGCCGAAACGAAAGGCUACCCAACGUCCGAUGGUUCUCUCCAGGAUCCUCUUCUGUUUGAAGAGAUCACGCAGCUGGCCGUGCAUCCCGUGACCAAGCACGGGAGUCUUUUUAACACCACGUCGCAAUUAUCAUACACCCCCUCCUUGCGGGACGACGGGGUGACGCUGGUGUGCGAGGUGAAGCACAAAUCGUUUCCGGGGAAAAGGAGGAGAGAGAAAAAAUUAAACGUGACCGCGAGGCCAAAGAAAGCUUACAUUACGAGCUCCCCGCAGGACCCGCGGCUGGGAGAAACGCUGAAGCUCAGUUGUAUCGUAGAGAAGUUUUAUCCACGCCAAAUAAGCUUGACCUGGAUAAAGAACGGACAGCUGGUGACAGACGCUACUCUCUUUGGACCUUUUCCUUCUGAAAACGACUAUUUUACCGUUUGGAGUGAAGUAGAAUGCUUAUUGACCGAAGACCACGAUGGAGUCACUUACACGUGCCAGAUAAAUCAUGACAGCAUCGGGAAGAUUGAAGAAUUAUCUUAUGAAAUCAACUUAAAAGGGACGCCGCCAAUAGUCCGGUGGAUUACGACAGACCCUCCCAAUCCCACGGAAGGACAAGAGCUCCGUCUCCGCUGCGAAAUCAGCGACUUCUCCCCCAAAGACAUCACCGUCGACUGGUUCCAAAAUAAUACUGAGUUGCACGCGGGGAUCUGUAACUCCCCAUGCGUGGCCAUCGCAAAAGGCGUCCACUUAAUGUGGAGCAUGUUGAACAUUAUACCCCAGAGAGCGGAUGACGGCAGCGUCUUCACCUGCAGAGUCCGGCACGUGGCUUUAAAGAACUGCGAGGAACGCUCCUACACGCUGAGAUUAACCGGGUAGCCGCAUUGACCAGCGGCAUGGAGUCGCAAUAUUAUGUAAAAAAAAGGGGAUUAUUAGAAUAGAAUGUUUGA